rnacentral:lncRNA from 1 species
GAGCAUUGAGCUGAGAGCAAGCCAGGGAGCAGGCUUCUUCUAGGGCUCCCGCUUCUGCUCCCUUUGAGGGCCUGCCAUGACAUUCUUCAGCGAUGAACUGUGACCUGGAAGCCAGAGAAGGAGGUCUGUGUCUCCCAGCCUCACCGGCUCUGAGAGCACCGAACUUUACCAUCUAGAGGUGUACACACCGGGAAGGGCGGCACACCUGAAGUGAUCCCUUCGGCAGAGGAAUGAUCACAUCAGCCUGAAAGAGACGCUGCCAAUAAAUAUGAAAGAAACGUGUGCCUGGUUUUCUUUUGCUCUCGUGGGAAAAUUCAAAGAAAUGAAUCCACUGCUACCCUGUCCGUCGCCUUUGGGACCCCCGAAGCGACAGCUGGAACUACCAGCGUGGUGAGCUCCGGGGCCUGAUCAUCUGGGCCCCGAGAUCGCAGUCCCACCCA